GACGAACGCUGGCGGCGUGCCUAAUACAUGCAAGUCGAGCGGACUGAUUAAGAGCUUGCUCUUAUGACGUUAGCGGCGGACGGGUGAGUAACACGUGGGCAACCUGCUCUGUAGUUCGGGAUAACACCGAGAAAUCAGUGCUAAUACCGGGUAAUAUCUGAGAUCACAUGAUCUUAGGUUAAAAGAUGGCUCCGGCUAUCACUACAGCAUGGGCCCGCGUGGCGUUUGCUAGUUGGUAAGGUACUGGCUUACCACGGGGAGGAGGCGUAGCCGACCUGCGAGAGGGAGAGGCCACACUUGGACUGAGACACGGCCCCGACUCCUACGGGGGGCAGCAGAAGGGGAUCUACCGGAAUGGACGAAAGUCUGACGGAGCAACGCCGCGUGAGUGAUGAAGGGGUUCUGCGCGUAAAGCGCUGUUGUUAGGGAAGAAACAGUACCGAACGAACUAGGUCGGUACCUUGACGGUACCUAACCAGAAAGCCACGGCUAACUACGUG
rnacentral:rRNA from 1 species